AUUGUCACUAACUACUGUUCAAUCACAUAGUCACACACUGUCAUUAACUACUGUUCAGUCACAUAGUCACAUACUGUCACUAACUACUGUUCAAUCACAUAGUCACAUACUGUCACUAACUACUGUUCAGUCACAUAGUCACAUACUGUCACUAACUACUGUUCAAUCACAUAGUCACAUACUGUCACUAACUACUGUUCAAUCACAUAGACUGUCACUAACUACUGUUCAGUCACACACACUGUCACUAACUACUGUUUAUCACACACUGUCACUAACUACUGUUCAAUCACAUAGACUGUUACUAACUACUGUUCAGUCAUACAGACUGUCACUAACUACUGUUUGUCACACAGAUUGUCACUAACUACUGUUCAAUCACAUAGUCACACACUGUCACUAACUACUGUUCAAUCACAGACACACACUGUCACUAACUACUGUUCAAUCACAGACACACACUGUCACUAACUACUGUUCAAUCACAGACACACACUGUCUCUAACUACUGUUCAAUC
rnacentral:lncRNA from 13 species